UUUAGAGAUUAAUCCAUGCAUGUUAAGGCACUUUUGUGCCGGCAGAUGGCUCAUUAAAACAAAGGUAACUUACCCUCAUUUAUAUUCGGAUAACUUUGCUAAUUGUGAGGCUAAUACGUGCUUUCCAGCUCGCGGGCCGUCCAAAUCAUGUAUGCAAACAAGGAAUAUGUUAUGGGAUAUAGUGUUGACUAUUGAGGAAAGACCUUUGAUCUAUCAGCUUUGAUGGUAGUGUAGUGGACUACCAUGGCCGCGACGGAUGACGAGGAAUCAGGGUUCGAUUUCGGAGAGAGCGCAUGAGAAACGGCGCUCACAGCUAAGGUUGGCAGCAGGAGCGAAAACUUUUCAAAUGAGCGCAGCUUGAAAAGGUGACGAAUCGUAUCAACACCUGCUUAUUGCAGGUGAUUGAAAUGAAAGACAUAUAGAAAGUGUUUUGAGGAACUAGUUCAGGGCAAGUCUGGUGCCAGCAGCCGCGGUAACACCAGCUGAGCUAGAGAUGGGUAACGUUGCUGCAGUAGAAACAUUCGUAGUCACAAUCAGGCAUUCGGUGGAGUUUUCCUCCGGGUAACGAUUCUUUUGUCCGCGACUAAAUCGGAUUGAUUCAUUUGUAAGGUGGAUAUUCAAGCGUGGUAAAUCUGAACAAACCAUGACUCGAUUAGCAUAUGAGUAAUGGAAUAAUCGGCAAAAAUGUGAGAGGGCGGUAGUACUUACCAGCUAGAGGUGAAAUUCUUAGAUUUGGUAAUGACUAACGACUGCGAAAGCAUCCGUCCAUCACAUAUUUGGUGAUCAAGAAUUAAAGUGUGGGGAUCGAAGAGGAUUAGAUACCCUCGUAGUCUACACCUUAAACCAUGUCAACUAGCGAUUGGUGGCAGAUUAAAUGCUUCAUCAGAACCUUAGCAGAUAUGAAAGUCUUUGGACUCUGGGGGAAGUAUGGUCGCAAGGGCGAAACUUAAAGGAGUUGACGGUUCUUCACCACCAGGGGUGGAGCGUGCGGCUUAAUUUGACGCAACGCUGAAAACCUUACCAGGGUCAGACUGAAUUAUGAUUGACAAGGUGAUCGACUUUUCUUGAUCUUCAGGGUGGUGGUGCAUGGCCGAUCUUAGUUGGUGGAGUGAUCUGUCUGGUCAAUUUCGGUAACGAGCGAGAUCCCUAUGUGAUAGUUGCACUGGGCGGGUAUUCCUGUGCCAGUGUUCCUAUCCAGACCGUCUGCGUAAGCUGAAGGAAGUUGGGGGCUAAAUCAGGUCUGUGAUGCCCUUCGAUACUCUGGGCGGCACGCGCGCUACAAUAGAACGAGUAACAUGAAACGAGCUCGAUAGAGCGCCGUUAAUCGUUAAUUCGUGUAUGUGAAUGGGAUAGUCUUCUGAAAUUUCUAGACUUGAAAGAGGAAUCCCUUGUAAGUGUGAUCCAGAACAUCGCGCUGAAUACGUCCCUGUGGAAUGUACACACCGCCCGUCGUUUCUUCCGACUGAUACUCAAUGUGAAUUGCAGGGAGGCAACGAACUGCCGUGAAUGUUGUGUAUUGGAGGAAGAAAAGUCGUAACAAGGCAGA
rnacentral:rRNA from 1 species